rnacentral:ncRNA from 1 species
AAGAGCGGAGUGAACCGGGAGGCUCACGCUCCGUUCUGUGGGAGCCCGGGGGUGCGAUCCCCCCGGGCGACCCGAC